rnacentral:rRNA from 1 species
CCUACGGGAGGCAGCAGUAAGGAAUAUUGGUCAAUGGAGGCAACUCUGAACCAGCCAUGCCGCGUGCAGGAAGAAGGCCCUAUGGGUCGUAAACUGCUUUUGUACCAGAGAAAACCCGAGUACGUGUACUCGGUUGAUAGUAUGGUAAGAAUAAGCAUCGGCUAACUUCGUGCCAGCAGCCGCGGUAAGACGAAGGAUGCAAGCGUUAUCCGGAUUCAUUGGGUUUAAAGGGUGCGUAGGCGGACUGAUAAGUCAGUGGUGAAAUCUCUCGGCUUAACCGAGAAACUGCCAUUGAUACUGUUAGUCUAGAGUAUAGAUGACGUUGGCGGAAUAUGACAUGUAGUGGUGAAAUACUUAGAUAUGUCAUAGAACACCGAUUGCGAAGGCAGCUAACGAAACUAUAACUGACGCUGAGGCACGAAAGUGCGGGGAUCAAACAGGAUUAGAUACCCUGGUAGUCCGCACCGUAAACGAUGAUUACUCGUUGUUGGCAAUAUGACCGUCAGCGACCAAGCGAAAGCGAUAAGUAAUCCACCUGGGGAGUACGCCGGCAACGGUGAAACUCAAANAGAGUAGAGACGNGAGAGNGCGACGGACGACGACGAGGGAGGAGG